rnacentral:rRNA from 1 species
AACGAACGCUGGCGGCAUGCCUAACACAUGCAAGUCGAACGAGAUCUUCGGGUCUAGUGGCGCACGGGUGCGUAACGCGUGGGAAUCUGCCCUUUGGUUCGGAAUAACAGUUGGAAACGACUGCUAAUACCGGAUGAUGACGAAAGUCCAAAGAUUUAUCGCCAGAGGAUGAGCCCGCGUAGGAUGAGCUAGUUGGUGGGGUAAAGGCGCACCAAGGCGACGAUCCUUAGCUGGUCUGAGAGGAUGAACAGCCACACUGGGACUGUGACACGGCCCAGACUCCUACGGGAGGCAGCAGUGGGGAAUAUUGGACAAUGGGCGAAAGCCUGAUCCAGCAAUGCCGCGUGAGUGAUGAAGGCCUUAGGGUUGUAAAGCUCUUUUACCCGGGAUGAUAAUGACAGUACCGGGAGAAUAAGCUCCGGCUAACUCCGUGCCAGCCGCCGCCGUAA